rnacentral:pre_miRNA from 1 species
AUAGUACUUCCUCCGUCCGGAAAUACUUGUCCAAAGAAUGGAUGUAUCUAGAUGUAUUUUAGUUUUAAAUACAUCCAUUUGUAUCCAUUUCUACGACAAGUAUUUCCGGACGGAGGAAGUAUCUA